AAGGAUCAUUACAGUAUUCUUUUCAGAUUGAUGUGUAGUUACAAGCGCUGCUGAAAUAUUGCGUGCGCGGUACUGCUAAUCGCUAUGGUCUGAAAAACCUCACACACUUUGUUUUCUUAUUAGAGACAAAUUUGCUUUGGUCUUAUCUGUGUAAAAGCAGAGAAGGCCAGAGAAUAAACAAAACUCUGUUUGUUUCUUCGGAAGCUAAACGUGAACUUUAAACUAUUAGUCAUUUUAAUAAGCUGUAAAAAGCUAUAAAAAAUUAAAACUUUCAACAACGGAUCUCUUGGUUCUCGCAUCGAUGAAGAACGCAGCGAAAUGCGAUAAGUAAUGUGAAUUGCAGAUUUUCGUGAAUCAUUGAAUCUUUGAACGCACAUUGCGCCCUCUGGUAUUCCGGAGGGCAUGCCUGUUUGAGCGUCAUUUCCUUCUCAUACCCCUAGGGUUUGGUGAUGAGUGAUACUUCGCAAGAAGUUCAUUUGAAAUGAAUUGGCAUGAGUUUUUGUUGUAAUUAACAGUUUGUUUAUUCAAUGUAUUAGGUUUUACCAUCGUUGAUUGACGGCUGAUAAAUAUAAUGAAGUAUGGCUCUGCCUAACAAACUUUAUCAUAAAGUUUGACCUCAAAUCAGGUAGGAUUACCCGCUGAACUUAA
rnacentral:rRNA from 1 species